AGGCGUGGGUUUUAUUUUUUGAAAUCUGUUAACCCAAAGUUAAAGCUUCCCUGUCAUUCCGCUGGUAAAUUGCACAAUUAUGGAGAUGUGGUUGGCUUUUAGAGAACAAUUUUUUUAAAAAAAACAUGUCAAUGAUAAAAGUAACUUCUAUUUCUUAGUGUGUUCAUGUGUCGAUCCAAACCACUUUUCCUUCAUAAAAAAAAAAACACACAACAACACACACACACCCUAUAAUCUCUUUGGUAAUGAUUUAAAUAAUAUGAGUGUUCAAAUCACCUAGCCACUUUGUGAAUCUUGAAUCGGUAAGAAUUGAAGCUUGGGAAGACAGGGGUCAGCUCUCCACUUGUGGUGUAAACAAGGGAUGGCUUUUUGGCAAGUGAUUUUCUUCAGCCUGGAACAGUAUAAUGUAAAUAAUGUGCCCAGUGAAAUGGUUGACUGGGCCGAUGACCAACUUUAGAGUUAACUCUCUAUCAGGUACAUGAAUUGCCAAUGAGUAACUCUCCCUGGAAAUGGGCCAGCCCACCUUUCCUGGGACUAAUCGGAUGGGAAUGUCUCUUCCUCGCCGGCCAGUGCAUUCUAGGCGGUUCAUUCUCAGAAAGUUCUGACUUGUACUGAAUCGACAUUUUCUUCCACCCAUUGGCCUACUGGUCAGUUGCUGGAGCCACACACAGUGAAUCUAACCUCUUCCCUUUAGGUACUGUAUUUGAAAGCAAACACUGUGCUCCUUCUUCCUGAAUUCUUUUUUGGCUAUUCUUGUAGCCUUUCCUCACCCACACGGGGUCCCACCCUUCUCUUCCCCGACCACUAUGUCCUAGAUUCCACAUCCUCGCCACUUUCUUGUGUACCGUCUGAAACACAGAUGUGAAAUCCUUAGUUCUGGACUCUACAUCUAUGAAGGCAGCUUAAUAUUUAUGGGCUUUCUGAGCCAUCUCACUGCACUGUUUGCUAAUUUUAAGCCUAUAAACACGAUAACAACUCACUCUUUUCAGAUUAUUAGUCAUCCUUAGUCAAAACAUGAUAAUAGUUUCCAAACAUUUCUUUGUGCCUGAACUUUUUAUAAACCUAUGGGAAGUAAUACUGCCAUGGUCCAUUGACUUCUACAUGCAAUAGAAAUAGCUACUUAAUUUCUCUCCCUCAAGGAUUACCAGCCCCCUAAAACCAGAUGUAGAAUGUUCUGAAGACAAGCAAAUUGAAGCUGCAUGUUACAAACAGGUCGACAUUCAACCACUGAGCCACACCAGCUGGGCCCAAGGUUCUUUCUUCACAUCACAUUCCCACCCGUCAGCAUUGACUGGGACCAUGGAAAAGGAUGCUGCUUAUCUCGUCGUUCAUCUGUGUUAACUAGCUGAGUGGGUACAUUGUGAAUUGAGAUAAGUGUCACUUGUCCAGGAAUUCUGUUUGCCUGUGGAUUAGGGCUGGCCCAUGCCCUCUGAGGCACCAACCACUGUGAAAGCCUGGGGUAUGGAGUGAGGAGCUCUUUCCAGGAACCGAAAAGUAAUCCAGGGCACCCAUCAUCUCCCCCAGCCAAUGACCGUGAACUGACACAUUCAGGAGGCCCUUCUCUCCAUCAGCAAAUAUAGUCAGGAGUGAUGUCUUGGUCUGGAUUUCUCCCAGAAGCAGACCACGACAUAAGGGUUCAGGUAAAAUUUCAUUUGGGAAAGUGAAAUGAGGCAGGGCAAGGAGCCGCUCACGUGAGCAUUGUCAAGCAAGUUACAGCCCUUAAGAAAAGAUCAGUGAUCUUUUUGAAGAGAGUUUGGGAGCGCAGGCAAAACACACAGCUUGGAGUCCUCUCACCCAAGGUUGAAAGAGUUUGAAUAUUUACCCACCAACUUUCCUCAGUCAGUAGUUGUUGGGCACUAAUGCUGGGCAGAGCAAAGCAGUCUCGGGAUGCUAAAGGGAGCCUUCAGCCAAAGCGACGCGGGUGCUGGCGGUUAGAAAUUAGUCAGGGUGAGGUUGUAGGGGGAGGGGAUAUGGUUGGGGGAAGGGACAGGCUACUUGCACUGGACUCAUUUCAUACUUACAGAAAAGUUACAAAGAUGUAGAGUUCCUUGACGAGCUUCCCCCUAACGUUAACAUCCCUCACCAUGGUGUACUUGUCCAAACGAAGAAACCAACAUUAGUACACUAUAAAUGAAAUUCCAGAUUUUAGUCAGAGUUUCUGUGUUUCCACUAAUGCCUUUUUUUCUGUCCCAGGAUUCAAUCCAGAAUAUCACAUUGCAUUUAAUUUUACAGUUUUUAACCAUUAUGCAUACACUUUUAUUUGGACCUUCUCCUAUGUUCAAUUAACUAGUCUUUGUCACUAGAUAGUAAGUUCUAUGAAAAGACAGUGAUAUUGACAUCCAGCAUCACGUUGGACACAGUGUAUGUUCUCAAAGAAAAAAACAGUAAGAACAAAACUUAUUCAGUAGACUUACGUGUAGCUGAGCCUCCAUCAGUUAGCUAAGAACUACUCAUAACAGUGUGAUGACUUAGAAGAACUUGGAUUUUGAACAUGUGUCCUAAACAUCAAACGUGAAGCAGGACCACUAAGUCAGACACAGCCCAGUGCCUUCGAUGUGCCUGGCAUUGUCUGUGCAGGUCACAGUUAGUCCUGCUGUGAGUCACAUGGCCGCGGGGACCUCAGAAGGAUGGAGUGAGACUCGGGGAAUUUAGGCACUUGCCCAGGGAGUCAUAGGUGGUAAAUGACACAGCAGAGGUUACAACUUGGUUUCUGACAACUUUGGAGCCUCUACUCUUAACACUAGUCAGUUACUCCUGCUCUUCUCCGCUUGCCCAGCCCCUAUCCUUGGUGCUAUGUGGCUGACAAGUCUGUAUUAUCAAACCGCAACAGACGUGGGCGCCUGGUAUAUUUCAGUGAGCUGAUGAAGUUAACCUUGAAUCUGUGGAUUGUUUUCAAAGCCUACCUCACAUUGGUCACACCUGCUAUCUUGGUAUCCAAAGACACGGACCCCAAAGCUCUUCAGAAAGUCGCCCAUCUGCCAAGAAUAAAGUUUUGACACAAGGCUAAUAACAGGCUUGGAAGCAAGCAGCUCUAAAGAGCAGGACAUUGAUGUUGUAUAAGAAUUCAUGUAUUUUAUAAUGUGCUUGAGUUUGGAUUGUUGGCCCCCAUUUUUCAGUCUUUCCAUAGUUACCGUUUUUUGGUGGGCUUUGUUUUUUAAAUGCCACACGAGGGCUAUGGAAUAUUUAAUGAAAUCUUUGACUAAUCUUUAUACUUGCAAUAGCCCACAGGAAAAUUACCCUUGGUCGCCUUGGCACUCGGGGAACUAAACUCGAAAGGAGAAAUUCUUCUCAGUCAUUUGAGCUUUGACUCUGGGAUGAUAAGCAGCAUGGAUAUGCAGGCUGACCAGCGCUGAAAUUCCUCUAACCUCUAAUUCUAAAUUGAGAAAAGACUAGGCUUUAAGGCCUCUUGUUUAUCUUUGCUUUGAUUACAAGUUGUGGGGAGCCUAGAGUUAGUAUCUAAUAACGCAAUCUAUGUGAAACACACAUUAUUGGCUCAGAAUGAGAUCUACGGAGAUACAAAAGGACAAUCAUGUAAAAAUGAUCUUUUAUUUUUUCCUUAGAAGAAACAAGCUGGAUUGACUGAAAGGUAUUCCCUUCAGACUCUAACGUUUAGAGCAUUGCAUGUUUUUAAAAGGAGAAACAAGAUUUCCUUGUAGAACAUAUGUAUGACACUGUUUACUUAAAUGGCUAUAUUAAGUUGACAUGGUUUUAAAGCACGGCCUUUGACCCUUUGUACUUGGGAUUACAGGCACAAUCUGUUAGUGCAGAUUUGUAAACUGUGCUCCAGCAAGACCCCUCGGGCCCUGGGGUGUCCAGAGGAGAGGCCCAGCUGACGGCACUGCCUCCUCCACUCCUGCAAAAGGCUCUGCUUCUGAGAGAGUUACGUUGAGGGAACAGCCACUCUUAAAAAAGCAACCAACGAAGACGCUUAAACCUGCUAUCUAUUUCCUUAUGUCCCAGAGACUACUUUCUGACCGCCUCUCUUCAGGAAGCCCUCAGAUUUCUAGAGGGAAAAGCACGUUCUGUGUCCAAGUUCGGAUUUACUUUCCUAACUGCUCGAUGUGAACUCCGAAGGACUGUGUAUUAUCUACUUAGCCGGCUCUCAAUAAGUAGGCUGCUUCACUAAUUACUGUUAUGUGGACAACGUUUAGGGAGUGCUUAUUACGACUAGGGGCUAUACCAAGCUCUUUUUCAUGCUAUAUUAUUAAAUCCCACACAAGAUUCCUGGGAUUUACCUCAUUGUACAUUUGGCGAAACUAUGACAUGAGGAGGUUAAAUAAUUGUAAAAAGCCCCUCAGUAGGUAAGUAACACAGUCCAGAUUAAAACACAGAUAUUCUGCCUGGCCAGGAUUGCUCAGUGGUUGGGCAUCAACCCAUGAACCAGGAGGGCAGAUGCCCGGGUUGUGGGCUCGAUCCCCUGUAAAGGGCAUGCAGGAGGCAGCCAACCUAUGAUGUUUAUCUCUCAUCGAUGUUUCUAUCUAUCACUCUCUUUCCCUCUAAAAUACAAUGAAAACAUAUUAAAAACAAAUAAAUAAGACACUUAUCUUCCUAAUUCCAAAUGUGUCCAUCUCUCCUGCUUCUCACUACUGCCCAUGGGGUGCUUUUAAAAAUAUGUCCACAAAUUCUUUGGUAUUCCUUCCUUCGAGAGGUUAAAUCCAAAUUCCCUCCCCUGGAGUGGGCUGGACUUAGUGACUCAUUGCUAAUGAACAGAGGAAAGCAGAAGCGAAGAUGUGCAACUUCGGAGACUAGGUCACUCAAAGGCACUGUGGCCUCUCUCUGGGUUGCUGUCUUUUGGAUCCUUCACUCUAGAGAAAACCAACUGCCAUGUAUUGAGCGGCACUUUGAAGAGGCCCAUGCGGAAAGGAAAUGAGGGAGUCCCACCUCCGUGUGGUAGGAAGAACUCAGGCCCCCAGUCCACAGCCACUGUAAAACUGAAGCCUGUUGACAGCCACCAUAACAGUGACCUUGGAGGUAGAGCCUUCCGCAGUCCAACAUCAGAAUGACUACAGCCCCUCCCACCAAAGCUUGUCUGCAAGCUCAUGAAAAACCCUGAGCCACAGACACCCAGCUAAGCCUCCUCCCACCCCUGCACUUACACUGGAAGACAAUAAAUGUUUAUUGUUUUAAA